rnacentral:lncRNA from 1 species
GGAAAAGGAAAAAGGAAAAGUGUGCGAUGAAGACUCUGUUUCCAACUCUCCUAUGGAAAAAAGAACUCACAAAUCUGCCCAUGAUGGCCUAGGUUACUUUAAACGUAAAGGAAGAGACAUAGGAAAACAAAUGGAGAUAAUACGGAUGAGAGUCCCUCCAAAGUCAUUCGUAGAAGAUUACUAGACAACAUAUCACCUUACAAG